GAUGAACGCUGGCGGCGUGCCUAAUACAUGCAAGUCGAGCGAACAGAUAAGGAGCUUGCUCCUUUGACGUUAGCGGCGGACGGGUGAGUAACACGUGGGUAACCUACCUAUAAGACUGGAAUAACUCCGGGAAACCGGGGCUAAUGCCGGAUAACAUUUAGAACCGCAUGGUUCUAAAGUGAAAGAUGGUUUUACUAUCACUUAUAGAUGGACCCGCGCCGUAUUAGCUAGUUGGUAAGGUAACGGCUUACCAAGGCAACGAUACGUAGCCGACCUGAGAGGGUGAUCGGCCACACUGGAACUGAGACACGGUCCAGACUCCUACGGGAGGCAGCAGUAGGGAAUCUUCCGCAAUGGGCGAAAGCCCGACGGAGCAACGCCGCGUGAGUGAUGAAGGUCUUCGGAUCGUAAAACUCUGUUAUUAGGGAAGAACAAAUGUGUAAGUAACUGUGCACGUCUUGACGGUACCUAAUCAGAAAGCCACGGCUAACUACGUG
rnacentral:rRNA from 1 species